GUUCUUGGUGCCCGCCCCCCUUGUGAGGUCACAGGCCAAUCUAACCGAUUGGCUUCCCACCUGUCCGUUGGGCUCCGGCUGGAGUGAGCACAUGGCCACAUCCAAGCUGUACCAAGCAAGCUUUGGAGAGCAUGACAGAUCCACACCAGGCUGGCAACCAGAAUUGCUCUAUUUCCCUCUGGCCUUCCCCAAACCCCCUCGCCCGGGCACCAAGAAGCGAUCGAAGCCCUCUCAGCUCACAGCGGAGAGAGAACACAGAGCGGCCGCCCUUCCUUCCGCGCUCCCUCCGGGCAGGAGGCCGCUCUGGAUGAGCCGCUCCUUGGGAGAAAUGUCCUGGCAGCUGAGGGUGGACAACAGGCCCAGGAAGCACUCCGGGGCCUUGCCCACGUCGAUCCCACCCUCGCGGGCCAAGCCCACUCCGGUCCCACCCCCCCCAGGCCCCACCCCCAAACCCCCCAUCCCCUCCCUCGCCCCCCCCGUCGCCCCCACCCCCACCCUCACCCCCCUCACCCUCAGAGACCCCACCCACGCCGCCACAUGCCCAGCCGGAGCCCUCCGGCUCGGGCCUAGUUCCGGCCCAGGCGGCCUCUCUCCGAGACCAGGCCCCGCCUCUGCCCCCAAAGUUCAGUUUUGUGAGGUUCUUCAAGUGGAAAUGGAAGGCCCCCAAGGAGGCUACUGAGAGACCCCCAGAGGUCCCCUCCCAACAGCCGGGGACCCCACCGGAGGGGUCUCCCCCGGGUUCCCCCGUCCCGGAGCCGGAGGGCAAGGGGUCGCCCGUGCGCGCCUGCCCCUCGGACCCCUCGGACCCCGGCAGCCCGGAGCCCCAGCCCCCCAGGCCCAAGCCCAGAGGGUGGCCGGUCCCGACCUUGCUCAGACGCUUCCUGAAGAAGCGUCGCUCCGGCCCCAGGCCCGGUCACGCGGAGCCCCCCGGUUCCCCCGCGGCAGCCCUGGCCCCACCGGUCUCCCCCGAGCAAGACGACAGACCCCCUGCCCUCCCCCCGGAGAGACCUCCGCCCCCCAAGGCCGCCUCCAGCCCCUGGAUCAUCGAGAAGACGCUGGCGAACCAACUGCGGGUCGUGCGAGUGGAGUGGCCCCCCCAGGACCCCGAGGUGCCACCGCAGGAGCCGGCCCCGCCCCCCGCCGAGGGCACCCGCACCAUCCCGUUGGUGAGCUUCGCCGGGCGGCCGUGGGGCCAGAGGGGGGAGGGUUGGGGGCUGGGGGGCCGGGCCGCCUUC
rnacentral:lncRNA from 1 species